GUCUCGCCGGCUAGCCGCGCGGGCGUCACUGCCCUCCCGCCGGAGUGGCGGCUACACGUGGUGUAGUAGCACCUGUACGCCAGCGACCACCAGAUUCGCCGGGAUUCACGUUGUCGCCCACAUCGGGGGCUCUGCCAUCGUCAGAUCCCGGCAUCCCACGACCCUUCCGACCAACGCACAUCCCGCACCUACCCUCGCCAGAUCUAGCAGCAACAGCAACGCGACCCCUCCUCCAGCCCACACCACCGCUUGCUAGAACCAGUGUAGUUUGGUGGGAUGUUUCAUGCGGUGCAGAUCCAUAGCUGUUGUGGAUCCUCGCUGGAUGGCAAUGAUGAUGGCCAUGGGAUGUUGUCCAUUUUUUAUUUGUGUGACCAAAGGGAGUGCCUCACGACGAGCAUUGGCUCGGGCCAUGGGAUCUCAAUUCCUCCCCCACGACCUCCUCCUUUGGACACGUGCAUUUCAACAAGGCCGCAUCUCCCCUUCUGUAGUCCAGUGACAGUUUCCAUGUAGCUCGGUGGCGCACUGAUGUGGUUCAGUACUGGUGCACUUGCAAUAUUGUUUGUUUUUCUUGCAGGUUAUGUUUGUCAUCACGGUGUGCAGCUGCAAUUCAGACGAGUCACCUCGGGGCGUGGUUGGUGCAGCUCGGGCGAGUAUUGCCGGUUGAACACCAGAUUUAGAAUGUGCUGCUCCUCAACUUCCUCCAUUUCUUGGUGUGCAGUUGUGCAGUUGUGGGUAUGCAGCUCAUCGCUGCGUUUGUUUCGGUUCGGAAGGUGAGGCAUUGUAGUUCGGUUGGGUCCGAUCAGUUCCCAUCAUGUCCCGUGUGCGAGGAUGACGAUGGUGCAUGAAUGUUAUGGAGAUGACAAAAAUAAAGAUAAAAAAAUUAAUGCAGCUCAUUAAUAUUGAUAAUGUAGUCUAGAUGAGUUUACAAAAAUA
rnacentral:lncRNA from 1 species